rnacentral:rRNA from 1 species
CGACGUGAGGAACCUGCCUUCCAGAGGGGGACAACAGUUGGAAACGACUGCUAAUACCGCAUGACGCAUUGGUGUCGCAUGGCACUGAUGUCAAAGAUUUAUCGCUGGAAGAUGGCCUCGCGUCUGAUUAGCUAGUUGGUGAGGUAACGGCCCACCAAGGCGACGAUCAGUAGCCGGACUGAGAGGUUGGCCGGCCACAUUGGGACUGAGAUACGGCCCAGACUCCUACGGGAGGCAGCAG